rnacentral:rRNA from 1 species
CAGAGGGUGCGAGCGUUGUCCGGAAUCACUGGGCGUAAAGGGCGCGUAGGUGGCUCGUUAAGCGUGUGGUGAAAGCCUGGGGCUCAACCCCAGGUCUGCCGUGCGAACUGGCGAGCUUGAGCAGAGUAGAGGCGGGUGGAAUUUCGGGUGUAGCGGUGGAAUGCGUAGAUAUCCGAAAGAACACCGGUGGCGAAGGCGGCCCGCUGGGCUCUUGCUGACACUGAUGCGCGACAGCGUGGGGAGCAAACAGGAUUAGAUACCCUGGUAGUCCACGCCGUAAACGAUGGGUACUAGGCGUCUGGGGGAGCGACCCCCUGGGUGCCGGCGCUAACGCAUGAAGUACCCCGCCUGGGGAGUACGGCCGCAAGGCUG